rnacentral:rRNA from 1 species
GAUGAACGCUGGCGGCGUGCCUAAUACAUGCAAGUCGAGCGAACAGACGAGGAGCUUGCUCCUCUGACGUUAGCGGCGGACGGGUGAGUAACACGUGGAUAACCUACCUAUAAGACUGGGAUAACUUCGGGAAACCGGAGCUAAUACCGGAUAAUAUAUUGAACCGCAUGGUUCAAUAGUGAAAGACGGUUUUGCUGUCACUUAUAGAUGGAUCCGCGCCGCAUUAGCUAGUUGGUAAGGUAACGGCUUACCAAGGCAACGAUGCGUAGCCGACCUGAGAGGGUGAUCGGCCACCCGGGAACUGAGACACGGUCCAGACGCCUACGGGAGGCAGCAGUAGGGAAUCCUCCGCAAUGGGCGAAAGCCUGACGGAGCAAAGCCGCGUGAGUGAUGAAGGUGCUCGGAUCGGAAAACUCUGUUAGUAGGAAAGAACAAAUGUGUAAGUAACUAUGCACGUCUUGACGGUACCUAAUCAGAAAGCCACGGCUAACUACGUG